rnacentral:rRNA from 1 species
CCUACGGGUGGCAGCAGUGAGGAAUAUUGGUCAAUGGACGAGAGUCUGAACCAGCCAAGUAGCGUGAAGGAUGACUGCCCUAUGGGUUGUAAACUUCUUUUAUAUGGGAAUAAAAUGUUCCACGUGUGGGAUUUUUUAUGUACCAUAUGAAUAAGGAUCGGCUAACUCCGUGCCAGCAGCCGCGGUAAUACGGAGGAUCCGAGCGUUCUCCGGCUUUAUUGGGUUUAAAGGGCGCGUAGGUGGAUUGUUAAGUCAGUUGUGAAAGUUUGCGGCUCAACCGUAAAAUUGCAGUUGAAACUGGCAGUCUUGAGUACAGUAGAGGUGGGCGGAAGUCGGGGUGUAGCGGUGAAAGGCUGAGAUAUAACGAAGAAAUCCGAUUGCGAAGGAAGCUCACUGGACUGCAACUGACACUGAGGCUCGAAAGUGUGGGUAGCAAACAGGAUUAGAUACCCCGGUAGUC